AUAGUCCACACCAUCUACGGUGUCCGGCGAUUGUUCGAUCCAGCCGGAAACAGGGAAUGCGGUCAAGGGAAUAUCCUGUCAAGCCGCAGCUGCCCCCGCAACUGUGACCAGUGAGCGGCAAGCCAAAUAGAAGGUCACUGGGCCUGGAAGUUUGAGGCCCGGGAAGACAGGCUGUCCGCGUGGACCUGGGAGCCAGGAAACCUGCCGUAGAUCAUUUUCAUAA
rnacentral:ncRNA from 2 species